AUGAACGCUGGCGGCGUGCCUAAUACAUGCAAGUCGAGCGAACGGACGAGAAGCUUGCUUCUCUGAUGUUAGCGGCGGACGGGUGAGUAACACGUGGAUAACCUACCUAUAAGACUGGGAUAACUUCGGGAAACCGGAGCUAAUACCGGAUAAUAUUUUGAACCGCAUGGUUCAAAAGUGAAAGACGGUCUUGCUGUCACUUAUAGAUGGAUCCGCGCUGCAUUAGCUAGGUGGUAAGGUAACGGCUUACCAAGGCAACGAUGCAUAGCCGACCUGAGAGGGUGAUCGGCCACACUGGAACUGAGACACGGUCCAGACUCCUACGGGAGGCAGCAGUAGGGAAUCUUCCGCAAUGGGCGAAAGCCUGACGGAGCAACGCCGCGUGAGUGAUGAAGGUCUUCGGAUCGUAAAACUCUGUUAUUAGGGAAGAACAUAUGUGUAAGUAACUGUGCACAUCUUGACGGUACCUAAUCAGAAAGCCACGGCUAACUACGUG
rnacentral:rRNA from 1 species